GACCUUGAAAUACCACCCUUUAAUGUUUGAUGUUCUAACGUGGAUCCGUAAUCCGGGUUGCGGACAGUGUCUGGUGGGUAGUUUGACUGGGGCGGUCUCCUCCUAAAGAGUAACGGAGGAGCACGAAGGUUGGCUAAUCCUGGUCGGACAUCAGGAGGUUAGUGCAAUGGCAUAAGCCAGCUUGACUGCGAGCGUGACGGCGCGAGCAGGUGCGAAAGCAGGUCAUAGUGAUCCGGUGGUUCUGAAUGGAAGGGCCAUCGCUCAACGGAUAAAAGGUACUCCGGGGAUAACAGGCUGAUACCGCCCAAGAGUUCAUAUCGACGGCGGUGUUUGGCACCUCGAUGUCGGCUCAUCACAUCCUGGGGCUGAAGUAGGUCCCAAGGGUAUGGCUGUUCGCCAUUUAAAGUGGUACGCGAGCUGGGUUUAGAACGUCGUGAGACAGUUCGGUCCCUAUCUGCCGUGGGCGCUGGAGAACUGAGGGGGGCUGCUCCUAGUACGAGAGGACCGGAGUGGACGCAUCACUGGUGUUCGGGUUGUCAUGCCAAUGGCACUGCCCGGUAGCUAAAUGCGGAAGAGAUAAGUGCUGAAAGCAUCUAAGCACGAAACUUGCCCCGAGAUGAGUUCUCCCUGAGACUUAGAGUCUCCUGAAGGAACGUUGAAGACGACGACGUUGAUAGGCCGGGUGUGUAAGCGCAGCGAUGCGUUGAGCUAACCGGUACUAAUGAACCGUGAGGCUUAACCUU
rnacentral:rRNA from 1 species